GCCAUAGCCAAGAUCCAGAUCAAUGUCUGAUUGAUGUCUGAUACCUUGGACCUCCAAACUUGGGGCCAAAUAAAGGGUUUAUUUUAAAAAAUAAAAAAAGAAAGAGAAGCCUUGGAAGAGAAAUGCAGAUAAAAUGAACAGUGAAAGGUCAUGGCCUUGUUUAGCCAUCAUCAUGGAAACUUCUUCCUGCAACAUAUGGAAACAACUAUAGAGACCCUCACCCACACAUUAUGAAGAGAAUGAAAGACUUUGGAACAUUCAUCCCAAAACAUGAUGUCUCCAUCAAAUCCCUUCCCUGAGGGUUAAGGAAACCCUGUGGAAGAGAAGACAUAAAAAGUGAACGGGGGUGUCUCUGGCUCUGUUGCCUGCCUCUCCUAUCUUGGCUGUGUUGUGUAGACUCAAAAGGAGAAGAUGCCUCUAGUCUUGGUGCACCUUAAUAUUCCAAGAAGGAAGACAACAUGGAUACCAUCGAAAGAGCUGCAUGGCUGAGCUUCCCAAGAGUGAAUUCAGCACUCAGCAUAUGGAGGGAGUGCUCCUCAUGAUUCUUCACUACACAAUAAACUUUAAUGACAAUGUCGCACAUCUUAAAUGUAA